rnacentral:rRNA from 1 species
GGACUACCCGGGUAUCUAAUCCCGUUUGCUCCCCCAGCUUUCGCCUCUCAGCGUCAGAUGCCGACCAGAUAGCCGCCUUCGCCACCGGUAUUCCUCCUGAUAUCUACGCAUUUCACCGCUACACCAGGAAUUCCACUAUCCUCUUCGGAUCUCAAGACCGACAGUUUCUCGAAAGUUUCCAGAGUUGAGCUCUUGAUUUUAUUCCGAGACAUAUCGACCCGCCUACAGGCGCUUUACGCCCAGUAAUUCCGGACAACGCUCGCCCCCUACGUUUUACCGCGGCUGCUGGCAC